rnacentral:rRNA from 1 species
UACAGAGGUGGCAAGCGUUGUUCGGAAUUACUGGGCGUAAAGGGCGCGUAGGCGGCCAUCUAAGUCAGACGUGAAAUCCCCCGGCUUAACCUGGGAACUGCGUCUGAUACUGGACGGCUCGAGUUUGGGAGAGGGAUGUGGAAUUCCAGGUGUAGCGGUGAAAUGCGUAGAUAUCUGGAGGAACACCGGUGGCGAAGGCGACAUCCUGGACCGGUAUUGACGCUGAGGCGCGAAAGCUAGGGGAGCAAACGGG